rnacentral:rRNA from 1 species
GACGGAGGGUGCUAGCGUUGUUCGGAAUUACUGGGCGUAAAGGGUGCGUAGGCGGGUUUUUAAGUCAGGGGUGAAAUCCUGGAGCUCAACUCCAGAACUGCCUUUGAUACUGAAGAUCUUGAGUCCGGGAGAGGUGAGUGGAACUGCGAGUGUAGAGGUGAAAUUCGUAGAUAUCAGGAGGAACACCAGCGGCGAAGGCGGCGCUCUGGGCCGGAACUGACGCUGAGGAGCGAAAGCGUGGGGAGCAAACAGG